ACCUGACACAUUCCUGCCUCACCCAUCACCAACCUGGAGUUCUGGUCAGAAAACCUCAACAGGACGAAUUGUUGCCUGGAUAAAGACAUUUUGUUCCUCUGUCAGAUCAUCAGUGAAGGUUUAUAAACCCUCCAUUCCCUGGUUGAAGGCACACUGCUGCUAGUGAAUCUGGUUUCUGCUGCUGCUUUGAUUCUUCAUCACAACAAGAUGAAAUUUGUUCUUUUUACUUUGUUCCUUUGUGGAUUCAUCCUGGAAAUCAAUGGAAAAAGUUCAUCAGGAGCAUGGCUCCCAGAGGAAAAAUCCCUUGUUGCCUGUGAAGGAACAGUGGCUCGACUCCACUGUGAAGAAGGUCAGGCUAUCUAUGUGACCAGUGCUACAUACGGACGCAAUGAUAAGAAGACUUGCAGCG